rnacentral:rRNA from 1 species
AACGAACGCUGGCGGCAUGCCUAACACAUGCAAGUCGAACGAGACCUUCUGGUCUAGUGGCGCACGGGUGCGUAACGCGUGGGAACCUUCCCUUAGGUUCGGAAUAACUCCCCGAAAGGGGUGCUAAUACCGGAUAAUGUCUUCGGACCAAAGAUUUAUCUCCUUUGGAUGGGCCCGCGUGGGAUUAGCUAGUUGGUAGGGUAAAAGCCUACCAAGGCUACGAUCCAUAGCUGGUCUGAGAGGAUGAUCAGCCACACUGGGACUGAGACACGGCCCAGACUCCUACGGGAGGCAGCAGUGGGGAAUAUUGGACAAUGGGCGAAAGACUGAUCCAGCAAUGCCGCGUGAGUGAUGAAGGCGUUAGGAUUGUAAAGCUCUUUUACCCGGGAUGAUAAUGACAGUACCGGGAGAAUAAGCGCCGGCUAACUACGUG